rnacentral:rRNA from 1 species
UGGGGAAUUUUGGACAAUGGGGGAAACCCUGAUCCAGCCAUCCCGCGUGUGCGAUGAAGGCCUUCGGGUUGUAAAGCACUUUUGGCAGGAAAGAAACGUCGCGGGUUAAUACCCCGCGGAACUGACGGUACCUGCAGAAUAAGCACCGGCUAACUACGUGCCAGCAGCCGCGGUAAUACGUAGGGUGCAAGCGUUAAUCGGAAUUACUGGGCGUAAAGCGUGCGCAGGCGGUUCGGAAAGAAAGAUGUGAAAUCCCAGAGCUUAACUUUGGAACUGCAUUUUUAACUACCGGGCUAGAGUGUGCUNNAGGAAGGGGGUAGGGUAGGAAUUUCCCGGCGUGUAGCAGUGAAAUGCGUAGAUAUGCGGAGGAACACCGAUGGGCGAAGGCAGCCUCCUGGGAUAACACUGACGCUCAUGCACGAAAGCGUGGGGAGCAAACAGGAAUUAGAUACCCUGGUAGUCCACGCCCCUAAACGAUGUCCAAACUAGCUGUUGGGGUCUUCGGACCCUUGGUAGCGCAGCUAACGCGUGAAGUUGACCGCCUGGGGAGUACGGUCGCAAGAUU